rnacentral:lncRNA from 1 species
CGAUUACGGCAUACAGCAACAACAACGAUUACUGUGAUGAAUCACUGGCGAGAAUUUGCGCUUACGGCUUCACUGGCGUCCAAGUAAACAACGAUCAGCGUUAAAAAUAAACUUUAAAUUUAAUGCAAAUUGCUUAUUGUAUAAGUUUGCCGAAUACAUUUGGACUUAUCAUACACAUACACAUAUGUAUGUAUGUAUACAGCGUAUGCAAUUUGCACAGUUAACAGUGUGAUCGAACUGUAGCGGACAGAAUAUGCGCUGUGGUGGCUGCAAGUUCGCUUUUUGGCUAAGGACAAUGGACCCAUAAAAUGUUAAAAUUAUGUGGAACCAAACCACUUUUUCUGCAACUUCAACUGAUGUUUAAAUAUUUUAUGUUUAAACCAUUACAACAACGACACUAAAUUUUGUUUUUGUGUGAGGAAACGUUUUCUGAAAUCAUAAAUUUCUUGGAUAAAUUGGAACUUUGACGCCUGUUAUCACUAAUAAUAAGGCAUUGCUUCGAAAUGCAUCAACUAGAGUUAUAAUUUCAUUCAUUUCCAGGAAGAAUUCAUUAACAACGAAAUUUAUAUUUAAUUUUUAUAUAAAACCAAAGCCAUUUAGCUCUAAAUUAUAUACACAUUUUGUCGAGCGCGUUACUCGGCGGGUCGUGGGUAAAAAUUCUAGAAGUACGAAACAUUUAAAUUAAAAAAAGCUAUUUUUAAACAUUUUCGAAAAAAAUUUGAAAACUUUUCUU